rnacentral:sRNA from 1 species
GUCUCUUUGGAUUGAUCUGAUAAGAGCCUCAUAUUUUCCUUGGACUAUUAUUUUAAUCCUGAGUCUCCCUGGGUUACUGCUUACUGAGAUGGAUUGAAUCCUUAAUGCUUGGAGAGUAGAGAAUCCUCACACCAAAGGGAGCAAAGCCAGCAGUGUGGAGAUGGGCCGGCGAGCACCUCAGGAUGUUGUGUUGAGCAAACUGGCUGAGGAUCAUCUUGAGCUGUGUUGGCAACCAUGAUGGAUGUCAUGAAACUCUGAAUGCUUGAAAGGCCCCGAAGAUGGGUUUGACUCUUCUACCUCAACCAUUGAUUCAGCUGUGGAUAAGAGCUGCAUCACUGGAGUGAACUCUGUUGGAAAGAAAACUGAAAGCCCUAAAGUCAGGAGUGAAUGAAAAGGGGGACUCCCUUAGGACAGCUGCUGGGAUCAUUUACUGCAGAAGAACAAAAGUCUGAAGUACAAAGCAUGUGAUGUUGCAAACGAAUACCCACAGCUAAAUAGAGGGCAGGAAAAAAAGCAAAGCCCAAAGAAAGGAGGCAAGGCAGACAGGAAGA